UACGGGGGGGGCAAGCGUUGUUCGGAAUUACUGGGCGUAAAGGGCUCGUAGGCGGCCAUCUAAGUCGGAUGUGAAAUCCCCAAGCUUAACUUGGGAACUGCAUCCGAUACUGGAUGGCUUGAAUCCGGGAGAGGGAUGCAGAAUUCCAGGUGUAGCGGUGAAAUGCGUAGAUAUCUGGAGGAAUACCGGUGGCGAAGGCGGCAUCCUGGACCGGCAUUGACGCUGAGGAGCGAAAGCUAGGGGAGCAAACGGG
rnacentral:rRNA from 1 species